GUGAAAUUGUUGAAAGGGAAACGCUUGAAGUCAGUCACGUUGGCUAGAAAUCAGCCCUGCUCUUGCUCGGUGUACUUUCUGGUUGAUGGGUCAGCAUCAAUUUCGACCAUUGGAUAAAGUCUCUGGGAAUGUGGCAUCUUCGGAUGUGUUAUAGCCCAGGGUCGCAUGCAGUGGUUGGGAUUGAGGAACUCAGCACGCCGCAAGGCCGGGUUUCGACCACGUUCGUGCUUAGGAUGCUGGCAUAAUGGCUUUAAUCGACCCGUCUUGAAACACGGACCAAGGAGUCUAACAUGCCUGCGAGUGUUUGGGUGGAAAAACCCAUGCGCGGAAUGAAAGUGAAAGUUGAGAUCCCCCUCGAAAGGGAGCAUUGACGCCCGGACCAGAGCUUUUGUGACGGAUCCGCGGUAGAGCAUGUAUGUUGGGACCCGAAAGAUGGUGAACUAUGCCUGAAUAGGGUGAAGCCAGAGGAAACUCUGGUGGAGGCUCGUAGCGAUUCUGACGUGCAAAUCGAUCGUCAAAUUUGGGUAUAGGGGCGAAAGACUAAUCGAACCAUCUAGUAGCUAGUUCCUGCCGAAGUUUCCCUCAGGAUAGCAGAAACUCAUUAUCAGAUUUAUGUGGUAAAGCGAAUGAUUAGAGGCCUUGGGGUUGAAACAACCUUAACCUAUUCUCAAACUUUAAAUAUGUAAGAAC
rnacentral:rRNA from 1 species